rnacentral:misc_RNA from 1 species
GAAACGCGAUAGGUAAUGUGAAUUGCAGAAUUCAGUGAAUCAUCGAAUCUUUGAACGCACCUUGCGCUCCUUGGUAUUCCGAGGAGCAUGCCUGUUUGAGUGUCAUGAAUACCUCAAAUCCCAAUGUUUUGUAAAAUUCAUUGUUUGGAUUUGGUUGUGGGCUUUUGCUAUUUAACUAUAGCUAGCCUAAAAGAGAUUAGCUGGACUUUCAACUCUUAAGAUAGUUACCACUUGAUGUGAUAAAAUUACAUUGGUGGGUCAAUGACUAUAGUAAGGAUCGAGAAGUCUGCUUCGAAUCCGGCGCGAGGUUCCAUCCUCAACCCAUUUAAUUUACAUCUCUGGCCUCAAAUCAGGUAGGAUUACCCGCUGAACUUAA